AGAGGGCCACUGUUUGCGUUAGCACUGUUUAUGUCGCUCCUAACUUUGCUCUUGUUUUUCUCCACGUCGCCCCUGGGAAACGUCCUCCAGGAAGCUGCAUCGCUGCACGGAGAGGGCACAUGCAUUCCGAGGACCGCCAGAGAACACACGGACACGACGGAAACACCGGGACUGUAACGCAGAGCGCUGGUCUCCACUCGUCUCAUUCUCUUCUGAGCGAACCCACUGUCGGACCAUCAGCUACCCUUCUCUCUCUCGCUCUCUCACUAUCUCUCUCCAUGACAUACACCAUUGCUCGCUCACUCACUAAGAUACAACUAUAAGAGGAACGUGUUAAAGAGGUCCCAAAAAUAGCCCACCGGCCCGGGUUACUUUUAUUCCGACAGCAGGUGCACUUACUUGUUGUGGGCGUGAAGGAUGCGGUGCGAUUGCCUGCCUGGCUGACAGCAGGGGGUGGAGGUGGCAUUGUGGGCGGAGUCGACCUGGGCUGGGUUUUGACAUCAGCAGGUGAAUCGGGCAUCGUUUCAGCCUUCCGUGCAGGGCUACCUGACAACAUCAAACCGGACAUUAAACAACCUGUGUGUGAUAUCUUCUUUUGUGUACAACUUUGGAAUGACAUGAGGGAGCAGACGGUCCUGAGGUUACAACACAACAUCAUCGCUGACAGCUCACAUUUGCUGAGAUCGUCUGGCUCGUGUCUUCAAGGAAAACAUUUAAGAUGCCACGAAACUUUAUUCCAGCGAGUCCUGACAACAUAAUGAGAGAUCAAGUAAAUGUGUAUAAAACAUGUAUUUUUAUUAUUUUCCGUCUUUUUUUGUGCAGUAAUCUCCUUAAAUCCUUUCAUAGAAAUGUAAAUAUGUUUCUUGCAACAACCAUUUCGUAAUCAUUUGGCAUACGCUUUUGUCCAAAGUGAUUUACAGUGCAAUUUACAUAGGUACUGUUUUAUAAUAUGUGCUCCUUGGAGAUUAGAUGUGUGCAGGAUAAAGCAUCCCAUAAGUGAAAAAUCUCUCAUAGACAUCAAUGAGAUUCAGUGGAGUGCAAAUAGAAACUUUUGCUUAAGUCUCAUGUCUAUUUUUUUGUUGUUGUUGUUGAGAAAAAGAGUCUCCAUUGACGUUUCAGAAGAGACCUCAACAAUGUGUCAAACUGAGCUCAGAUUUGUCAAGGCAAAAAAUAAGCUCCGUGAUUAACAAAUGUUCAUGAUGUUUACACGUUACGUCUAUCAAGAUAAUCUUUACAAAUCAACACCACAUUUGUUACUUUUGAAGCCGAAAUACAAUCGGCAGAAGUAAAAAGCUAACACGAUGCUAUAAACAGACUACACUUAAGGUCGCUCGAUAUCAACGUCACCACCACCAAGCCUCCGACAACUCUUUCGAACUUUAUUAAAAAUGUGUUCCCUGGUCAGUAAUUACUCUGUGAAUGAAUCCCCAUCAAUGAUUUUAAACAUUUGUGCCCAUGUUGCAUUAUUUGUGAGCUUUAUAUGCACGAUGACGUAACGUCCCCGCCAAAGGAAGUAGUCGCUUUUAGCAACUUGUUAGCAACCGCCAUUUUAAAGACACAAUAAAGGUUUAAAAAAUCACAAGCGUGUUAUAACUGGUGUGUUUUAUGUCAUAGAAUAAAAGGUGAAUAUAUUUAGAGGUUUUGUUAGCUACAGACUUUAAUUCAGGCGAUUUACCAAAAACCCAUAGACUUUGGGCCGAUGGAACCGGAAGUCCUAAAAUUCUAACUC